rnacentral:tRNA from 1 species
UGCUCUAUAGUUUAUUUUAAAAUGUGGAUUUUGUAAAUCCAAGAUGGAAAAGCAG